UUGGCUUCAAGACUGAAUCGCUCUAUUUUUACAGACCUGAACAUCGUAAAAUACAUCUGUACUUCACUCUGGUUGGUUCUUCUAAUGGUUCGAACGUUCCCCACUUCAGCAAGCGGGUACUGCAGACUGCAGCGAACAGAAGAAUGCAAAGUCCCGGAUGGUGAAUCAGCUCUCUUGUGUCUUGUGGACAGACACGUUGAUUAUUUACGGAACAGGGGUCUUUGGAAUUAAGGGAGCAUAUGGAAUCUCGUUGCUGAGAAUGGGAUCCAAGAACCCACAGCAUCAAUAAAACCUGGAGCUUGUUAGAAAUGUAGAACCCUGGGCUAUAUACAGACCUGUAAAAGCAAAUCUUCAUUGACCGAGCUCCUUGAGUGAAGGCUGGAGUGUACACACGAGAG
rnacentral:lncRNA from 1 species